rnacentral:rRNA from 1 species
CCUACGGGUGGCAGCAGUGGGGAAUAUUGGGCAAUGGGCGCAAGCCUGACCCAGCAACGCCGCGUGAAGGAAGAAGGCUUUCGGGUUGUAAACUUCUUUUAAGAGGGAAGAGCAGAAGACGGUACCUCUUGAAUAAGCCACGGCUAACUACGUGCCAGCAGCCGCGGAAAUACGUAGGUGGCAAGGGUUGUCCGGAUUUACUGGGUGUAAGGGGCGUGAAGCGGGGAGGACAGGCAGAGGGGAAAUCCCGCGGCUCAACCGCGGAACUGCAUUUGAAACUGGUUUUGUUGAGUACCGGAGAGGUCAGCGGAAUGCCUUGUGUAGCGGUGAAAUGCGUAGAUAUAAGGAAGAACACCAGUGGCGAAGGCGGAUGACUGGACGGCAACUGACGGUGAGGCGCGAAAGCGUGGGGAGCAAACAGGAUUAGAUACCCCUGUAGUC